GAGGACUCGACUACAAGAAAACUCAGUGUUGCUGAGAGCACCCAAGAGGAAGCAGAGGAGGACUCAAGUACAAGAAAACUCAGUGUUGCUGAGAGCACCCAAGAGGAAAAAGAGGAGGACUCAAGUACAAGAAAACUCACUGUUGCUGAGAGCACCCAAGAGGAAACAGAGGUGAGCAGAAGUAACAGCAACAAAAUGGUGGGAGGGAGGACACAUCUGGACAAUCAUCUUCCAAGGUGGUUACCCAUUCUUUGUCAUGGAAUUAUCACCCCCCAGUAGGAAGAAAAGCCAGAAAUGCAAUGACCGAGAUGAUUCUUAACCUGUAUUGCUGGUCAGCAUUCAACCCUAUUUAUCCUACUAGCAAGUAAAGGUUGAACUUUCUUCGUACAUUCUAUGAAACUUAGCUCAUUUAUUCUCCAUUUUGAGAAAGAGCUUUCUGAAUGCACAGCCACAAAAAUAACCAGCUAAAACCCACCUUCAGCAUGGGCCUACCUAAUGCAAACUCUGAUUUCAGAUUGCCUACUAUGGUGGUUGGUUAUUUUAAAAGUGAAAUUCAGAUUGAAAAGGAUGGCAGUGGAUAAGAAAAGCUCCCUAACUUAAUUCUUACUUGUUGAAGGAGGAUUGCAUAAGAAAAAAAGCCAAAAUACUUUGUUUUCUAGCCAUUUUAUCUCCAUGUCCUUUGCAAGAUUUUAAAAGGCAUGAAAGAAAAAUUUACUACCUUUUCCAAGUUCUCCUUUGAGAUUAGUUAACACACUUUAUGAAUUAUUCCUUCAGAGAUGAAAACAAAUGAACAAAUUGGUGGGAGUGUAGUGAAAGUUGUUACUUGUGUCAUACACAUAUAACAUGAGUGAGGAAGUAAGAAAAAAGGCAGGCAAAUUACUAAUUUUUCCAACGAAAUGCACUCCAACAUUCCUUCGACAAAUUUCGAGCUAAUGGGAAGGGAAUUGAGAAGAUGUCUAGCACAAAAAUGUUAUGGGAGGAAUUUUAGGACUCCUGCUCAGGGAUUUGUUGUUAGCAGUUUAGGGGCACAUAAUUCUCGAUUUCUGGGACUUGCCUUCCAUGAUGAGGAGGAAAAGGAAAGUGUGAGAAACAGAAUGAGAGAGAGUGCCCAGGAUAGCCUGAAACCUUAUACAUUACAGGAGGACUCAUCUUCAAGAAAACUCAGUGCUGCUGAGAGUACCCAAGAGGAAAAAGAGGAGGACUCAUCUUCAAGAAAACUCAGUGCUGCUGAGAGUACCCAAGAGGAAAAAGAGGAGGACUCAUCUUCAAGAAAACUCAGUGCUGCUGAGAGUACCCAAGAGGAAAAAGAGGUGAGCAGAAGUAACAGUCACAAAUUGGAGUGUAGGGAGGACACAUUUGGACAAUUAUUCUACAAAGUGGCUACCCAUUCCUUGUCACUGAAUUAUCACUCUACAAUAGGAAUAAAAGUCAAAAGUACUUUGACCAAGAUGAUUCUUGACCUUGUUGGUCAGCAUUCAACCCUUCUUAAACUGCUACAAUAGAAAGGUUCAACUUUCUUGGCAUACUCUGAAGCAGAGCCCAUUUUUUCUCUAGUCAGGGAAAUUGGUUUUUGAAUGCUCAGUUACAGAAAAUAAGCAGUGAAAAACUAUCUUCAGCAUGGUCCUACCCAUUGCAACUUCAGAUUUAGGUUGCCUACUGUUGUUGCAAUUUGUUGAUUUAAAACUGAAAAUAAGACAGAAAUGAAUGGCAUUAGAUACCAAAAGCUUUUAAAUUCAUUCCCACUUGGAGAGGGAAAGAGUAUAAGAAAGAAGGCCAAACAUUAAUUUUUCAACCAAUAUUUUCUCAAUGUUCUUUGCAAGUUUUUAAAGGCUUGAAGCAGCAACACUGGGUCACUACCCUUUCCAAGCUCUCCUUUGAGAUUAGGUAACAGGUUGUUUGCAUUAUUCAGAGCCGAAAACUAAAUGAUCAAAUUGGUGCCAGUGCAGUGCAAGAGAUUACUUGCCAUGCAAUGUGUGCCUUUAUUAUGAGUGAGGAAGUUAGAAAAAAGGCAAUAAAAAUAUUAAAUUUUCUGACA
rnacentral:lncRNA from 1 species